UUUAAUAGGAUAGAUAAUAGUAUUUAUAUUGGAGUUAUAUAAGAUAAUUAAAUGAUGUUGUUACGAUUUGUUAUGUUGAACAAAAAAUUGAAAAAUAACGAAAUCACUGAACCGGGCCGCCGGUGUAACCGCGGAACUGGUGGAUUGUUGAACCACGGCGUCCCUAAAGACUAAACUCAGUGAUCGCAAUAGACUGAAGUGGAGAAGUAAAAGCAUGGCGUUGGGAGUAUCGAUAUUCAAGCCGCGCAAUGAUAAAAGAGAGUAUCAAAUUCGAAGGAUUGUGUUCUGCAAAACAAUCUGCAAGUUCUCAUCAUUAGCGAUGCAGAAAUUGACAAGUUGAUGUGGCAAGCUGAUGUGGCAGGAGAAUUGUAGUGCUGAUGAUGUGGCAGUGUGAAGGCUAUUUGACGGCUAUUUGACGUCCGCCAGCAUUGGAGAUGCUCUCAUGGCCUCCCUUCCCCCUUAUCCAUUUCAUCUUAGAGAACCACAAAAUUUUGCUAUCUGAUGUAAUCAGGUACUUCAUAUCAAGUCUUUAUAGGUUAAUCGCAGGGAUGCAUUUAUAAAUAAUUUAAUUGCGGCAAUCAGGUGCUGAAGAGAACUAAUCCACUAUUUACAUUUGUUUCUUAUAAAUACAGCUUCAGAAACAUUUACUAACUGUGAAAGACCAGUUCAGUACAGGUUGGUAUUGUUAGCUUCAUGUUAAAUGUUUUUCACCACCAAGCUUCAUCACCUUAUUUAUUUGUUGUAAACAGAGAUAAUUAUGCUCUAGUACGUAACAGUAUCUAUCAUUUAUCUUGGUCCUUGAUGCACCCUCUUAUUAUCUAUGGUCUUUUGCAAUGCACAUGCCGGAAAUUGGGAUAUUUUGGAAGUCUGGCCAAAAGAAAGAGGAUUGGAUACUAGAAAGGAUCUUCUGCAGUUCUAUAAGGAAAAUUAUUCAGCCAAUCUUAUGCGUCUUGUGAUAUAUGCAAAGGGUAGUAGAUUGAUAACUGACUGUCACCUGGUUUAUAUGGUCUUGCUUGGCAUGUUUAAUAUAUGAACUUUUGUAGUUGGAUUGGUUUAGAUGUGAAAGCCUUGUCCGGAGCUAUUUAGAGUAUAUCCGAAAUACAAAUAGAAGCUUUAUCAGUUUCCGUGGCCAGCCUUGUGACUCAGAAAGCCUUCAGGUAGUGUUGGAGCAUCAUUACUCAGUAUCUUUAACCUACCGAGUGGCAAUAUUUAUUUUUUUCUUUAUAUGAUGAUUAACUGUGAGUAUAAACCUCUGUGGGAAUAUUAUUUGGAAUGUUUCAAUGUUUUGCUCCUUUUAAAACUAAACUUUUGAGUGAGAUCCUCAUUUAUUUCCUUCAUUAUUUCUUGAUAAUAAAUGCCUCACUUGUUAUCAUUACCAUCAAAUUGCUACAAUGAACAGUUCCAUAUUUCAGCGCCUCUUGGGCAUCUGCCUUGGUUACUGUUGCAGUAUAGAGUCAUGAAAUGACAUCAACGAGUCAUUUGUCAAUUAUUAAUGCACCAUUUAAAAACUUUUAGCCAUUGAGAUGACAGAGCUUGAAAUGUUACCGUGCCACCUUUGCAUGGUUAUGUAUUAAAGACUAAUGUCAUAAUCUUUUCCUCUGAAAUUCUUUUGUUGAAAUGCAAUGUUUAAUUGCUAAAACUAAGUUUUGUGCAAUGUCUCUACUUUGUAAGAAAAUAGAUUAUAUCUCCAUGGUCUAUUUCUCAGAUUCUUGUGAAUGCAGUCUCAAUCAACUAAUCUAGGAAGGUCAUAAUUAAGUUGAAAUUUGUAUGGCCAAUAACACCGGGAAUUCGUCAUUACAAUGAAGGACCAAGCAGUUAUCUGAGUCACUUAAUUGGCCAUGAAGGAGAAGGAUCUUUGUUUUACAUCUUGUAAAACUGGGUGGGUGUUGAGCUUCCUUUCCAUGCAUGCCCCCACUCCCCCUCACUGACUUGCUGGUAGGAAAAAAUGUCAGAAGAUUUUGUUCUGUGCUUACACCCUCCCAUCUCAGCCCCAACCAUGUCAAAAGAAUUUUUUAAUGAUAAACUGGCACUCUUAUCAGUUAAGUUUUCUGGCUUAUGGUAGUAGUUUGAAUCUUAUCUAUUUUGUAUUGGGCUAUAUGUUGGGAUUAUUUCUGCAGAACUCAUGUGUCAUAUACUUGAGCUGCCACUACUACUGACUACUAGGCAUUGAUUCUUGGCAUUGGUUGUGGUGGUUGAGCUGCCGCUGCUGUUGCUCACCAGUAGUGGCGGAUCGUGGUAAGUGCUGCUGGUGUUGGCUGUUGAAGUCGGCAUCAGAGGGAGGGUGCCGGUCCAUCCGAGUGGUUUGAAGGUAGUGAGAAUGAAACCUGCUGCUAUUCUCAUUCCAAUAUCCAACAUUUCAAAAGACUAAAAAAUUGGCCUCUUCACCCAAUACAUGAGUGCAUAUAUAUAUGCAUAGAUAGUACUGGUUUCUUGAGCUCAUGUUUUUGGCCAAAUAUAGGGAAGGGUUGGUUAAUGACUUUGUGAAAUACGUUUUUUUAAUGGAACUAGACGUACAGUUAUAUCGAUUUUGGGGAUUAAGUAAUUAAACUUAAA